UACGUAGGUGGCGAGCGUUGUCCGGAUUUACUGGGCGUAAAGGGAGCGUAGGCGGACUUUUAAGUGAGAUGUGAAAUACCCGGGCUUAACUUGGGUGCUGCAUUUCAAACUGGAAGUCUAGAGUGCAGGAGAGGAGAAUGGAAUUCCUAGUGUAGCGGUGAAAUGCGUAGAGAUUAGGAAGAACACCAGUGGCGAAGGCGAUUCUCUGGACUGUAACUGACGCUGAGGCUCGAAAGCGUGGGGAGCAAACAGGAUUAGAUACCCCGUACGU
rnacentral:rRNA from 1 species